GUUGAAUAGUUGUUCUCUGAGUGAUCAUCAUUUAUUCCAUGCACUGAAUGAGGCCUGGGAGCCUGUGGGGAAAUAGAAGCAUGAAAGAGGGUGAUGUUUCCUGGACUGAUGUGGCUGCACAGGAAAUACCAAUUGGCUGCUGCUGUGGUAAGUUACAGUUGGCAUGUCUAUGAAUGGCAACAUGCUGUUUUCCCAUCUUAGAUAUUUGAGUCACUUUUGAGAACUUGAGUGGCUGCGUAGAACCCGGGAGACAAACUUCUUAAAGAUACAGCACACUGUCUGCCAGAGACCCGCGUUUCAG